rnacentral:rRNA from 1 species
UACGGAGGGGGCUAGCGUUAUUCGGAAUUAUUGGGCGUAAAGGGCGCGUAGGCGGCCCGGUAAGUCAAAGGUGAAAUCCCUCGGCUCAACUGAGGAACUGCCUUUGAAACUGUCGGGCUUGAGGCCGGGAGGGGGUAGCGGAAUUCCCAGUGUAGCGGUGAAAUGACGUAGAUAUUGGGAGGAACGACCGGUGGCGAAGGCGG